UGUACUUAGUUCUAAACUCUAUGUUAGAGGGCAAAAGAGAAUUAAACUUUGAAAAAUUUCUCUUUGGGUCAGCCUCUCUUCCGCUCUCAACCCGCUUCUCUUGUGCAUCAGAUCAAUUAGAAACUAGUGUGGCGUUUGGGUAUUCAGAAUACCAAAGUCCCAAAUACAUGCAUCUUGUCUCUGGGUCAGAUCGGCUAUAACCUAGAUCUCGUCAUUUCAAUAUAAUCCAUCACAGAUCUGGUAUUUCUUUCUUCUCCAGAUUCUCCGCUCUAUCUAAGCUAGAUUUUGAUAUAGAGAGCUUCUUUUUGGAGAGUGAGAAACAGAGACGAGAGAUGGGUUCUGGUUCGAAAUUGGAAGGCACAUAAGCUCGCCGAUACGGCAAGACCCGUAAGAAGUCUUGAGUGUUUCUAGGGAUUCAAAGUCAUUCAACUGAUAAGGAAAUUAAAAAGGCGUAUCGGAAACUCCCUCUCAAGAGUCCAUUCCUUCAACUUUCUUGGUUUGGAUAUCAAGUGAACUGGCCCAUCAGCUUUGUUUCGACUCCUGGUGCAUUGAAAAUAUAUGCCGAGAUAUUCAGUUUUUUGAUACUAGUGAAACUGGCUUUGUUUUCAUUGACUGAUGUGUGGCGCCAAUUGAAGGGUUGAUGAAAUAAAAAUCACUAAUGCUUUACAAUAUGCAGCUAGUAUUGAGUACGUUAUAAGGUGGAGUACCAAUAUUAGUCUUUGGUCAAACUGGGGUUGCAUAAGUUGAUUCUCCAAAUGAGGCCCUUCCUCUUAAUUGCAGACCUAAUACUGGUGCUGCGCAGCUGACCAAAGAUAAAGUCAA